GACAGAGGGUGCGACCGUUGUUCGGAAUUACUGGGCGUAAAGCGCAUGUAGGCGGCCGCGCAAGUCGGGCGUGAAAUCCCACGGCUCAACCGUGGAAGUGCACUCGAAACUGCGCAGCUAGAGUCCUGGAGAGGAAGGUGGAAUGCUUGGUGUAGAGGUGAAAUUCGUAGAUAUCAAGCAGAACACCUGCGGCGAAGGCGGCCUUCUGGACGAUGACUGACGUUGAGACGCGAAAGCGUGGGGAGCAAACAGG
rnacentral:rRNA from 1 species